rnacentral:tRNA from 1 species
GGCUUUGUAGCUCAGUGGUAAGAGCAGGGCCUUCAUACGGCCAAGGUCACAGGUUCAAAUCCCGUCAAAGUCA